AAGCAGAUUAGCCAACUGGGAACAGUGAGGCAACCCAGAGGUUGGCAAUAGUAGGAAGCCACUGCCACCCCUAGGCUAUAAGCACAAGAAAGGAGGAGACUUACCAGAGACCAAGGGCCCAGGUGACAUUGAACAUGGAGGAGGAGAAAUACCUGGUGUGGUAAGGAGGAUAAUCUCCCCCUCAAGACGUCCACAUUCUAAUCUCUGGCACCUGUGAAUAUGUUAUCUUACACGGCAAAAGGGGCUUUUCAGAUGUGAUUAGGUUAAGGCUCUUCUGAUGGGGAGCUUAUCCCACAUUUUUGGGGUAGGACCAAUGUAAUCACAAGUGUCCUUAUAAGAGGGGAGGAAGGAGGGUCAGAAUUAGAGAAGACAAUGUGCAGAAGUUAGAGUGAUGUGGUCACAAGCCAAGGAAUGCAGACAGCCCCUAGGUGUUGGACAAGGAAAGGAAAUGGGUUCUGCCCUAGAGCCUCCAGAAGGAAUGCAGCUCUGCUGACACUCUUAGUCUCAUAGGACUUAUUUCAGAUUUCUGACUGCCAAAACUAUAAGAUAAUACAUUUGUGUUGUUUAAGCCAUUAAGUUUGUGGUAAUUUGGUACAGCAACAAUAGGAAAUGGAUCCAUCCGGCUCACCCCUUCCUCCUGUACUUCAAUCUUGCCACUAGCUGAACCCAACAGGAAGCUAAGUGGCAGAGAAGUGAGGGAAAUACAGCCUGCAAAGAAGGACAAGGGAAGGACCUGGGGGCAAACAUGCCCCCAUGUAUAUAAUGAAAACAAGGCUUAUUCUCUUCUGAUUCAUUCAAAUUCCGUUGCUUAAUCAUGGGAAUCAUGGAAUGGCAUUUGGUCAAGGAGUAAUUUUCAUGAGAUGGUUUGGUAAUUUUCUGGACUUCAUUUUAUUUUUCAUUAUUUUAUGAGCAUGUAAAUCAAAACAGAUGAUAUCACCUCAUCUUUCUCAAUGGCAUCAGUAACAGAACAAAAUCAAAUGAAAGUGCUCCAUAAAAAUGAGCACUGCCCAAGUUAUAGUGUGUGCGGGCUGCUGCCCACUACUCCCUUCUCUGAGUCAUUCCCCGAUGUGACUUGGCAGCCCAGCUCCAUCAGCUCUGUGGUUGAAAAAAAAUGGGUCAUUGCACUGCGACAAAAGGACAUUCAUUGAAAAUACAGCAAUUAAGAAAAAUUUGAGCUCCAAUAGUCUCAAAUGACCAAAGGAAGCUUGUACUUGCAGCGUGUGGGUGCCAGCAGCAGGCAGACCAACAAAGCAGCAGGAGUUCCACCAGCAGCCACCAGGGACACGUCUAAGAAUUCUAUCAAACAGAAGGAAGUGGCUGAACUCCACUGAUGCAGGGGACAGGAGGCCUUGGAAAAGGCUGUUUUCAGCAUUACUAGCAUUUAAUUGAAACAUUCUGGAACCUGUAGUCCCAGGACCUAAAAAUAGGGCAUCACAACAAAAGACUCAACAAUAACGUUUUUCCUUAUGAAAUUUUAUUUUUGCUUAAAUAUAGGGGAAUAUAUAGGACACUGUAAAGGCAAAGUCUCACUGGUUUCUCUCUCUCUCACACACACACACAGAAUUGGAAGAGUUCAUAAAUAAAACAAAUUAGCAAAAAUGUUGAUGGUUGUUGAAGCUGGAUGAUGGGUACAUGAGUGUUCAUUGUAUUAAUCUCUCCUACCUUUUGUUUUAAAAUUUUUAUUAAAAAGGGAAAAUGUAAAUGUUGAUUUCAUUGGAUACAUGUUUUCCCUAGUUAGUCUUCCUUUACACUGUUCAUUUCAUUGUCACUAGGCUUCACCAUGUCUCUGUGUCGUGGGACCCAGCAGCAUGCAGAUAUUGCCAAGUGUGCUCUGAUUCUGUCUGUACUUAUGUGGAAAGCAGAAGCCUGCUCUGGCAGAGGAAGGGCGGUGUCCAGGCAAUAGGCAUAGGAAAUGAGUAGGCAGCAGGCUGAAGAGGGUGAAAAAAAACAGGGCAAGAGCAACCCCUCCACUGAAAUGCACUGGGAAGGGGGACUUAGAUACUAACACAAGUUCAAUUCAAGAAGCAUUUAUUGAACCGUCCUCAUGAGCCAGGUCAGGGUGUUCAGCACUGAGCGUGUCAAGACGAAGACACAUAGCCUCUAAGUGUCCACCAUCUACAAUAGCUAAUGUUUAAUUGUCCUUAAAAGUUGAAGAAUGUUGACUGGAUUGUCUGCAAAUCAGUCAUGUGAGUAGUGUUAAUCUAAUGAAGAAGAAUCUUAAAAGACAAAUUCUCCAAAUGCUGCUGCUCCUGCAUCCUGCUGCUCUACCUGCUGUGGGGAGGAGGUGAGUGGAUGAUACCCAGCUUCCUUUCGUGGCAACAACACUUAAAAAGCAUUGGGAAUUAGUGUUAAACAAGACACAAAAUGUGUGCUCUCAGGAAGAUCAUAUGCCAGUGCAGAGAGAUGAUAAACACGAAAUCCAAUAAAUACACAGUUUGUGCCAUGAAGAAAAUAAAACAAGCUGAUGAAAUUAUAACUACCAGUGACCACUCCCUGAUAUGCUGCAGAUGCAAUUGAGUAGCAGCUUCAUUCCACAUUUCUCCAACAUCUUUCAUGGUGAGGUCAAGAGCAUAUUCAAAACCAUGUGUGGCUCAGUCCAACUGGAGAGACCAAGUCAAAGAGCCUCAUUUCCAUAAGGUAGAAUCUUGUCCAUACCUCUUCACUCACAACACAGACCAAUCUUGCAGAAGCCAGGAGGUUCUGAGUAAGGUCUGCAUAAAGAAAUAAUACCAUAGUUUCCAAUUGGCCAGUUUCGUUCUCUAACCAAACAGCUGCUGCCUGCUUACUGAGUGUGCAUGCCCACGCACACUCACACUGACUGUAACUCACCAUCAGCUGUAACCAGGCAGUUCUCUCAAGCCAUCUGCAGCUGGGCAAAAACCUAGAAUGAUUAAGUCAUUGAUAGAACACCACUUUCCUAAAAAUGGCAAUACUUAAAUACAUCUAAUCCUGAUCAAUACCUUGAUAUUCUAUAUCAUACAUUUAAAAAUCAAGUUGCCUAAUUAUUUUAAAUAUAUUCCAAAUGAACAAAAACACAUUAUAACUCCAAAUCACCAUGUUACCACCACCAUGGCGUGGAACCUUCCUGUCCACUCCAGAAGGCAGUUUUGUGCCCUCCUGGGCACCUGUGUCGCAGCCUAGAGACACUUAGACAUCCACCGGGAUAGUCCCAGGGCUCAGCUGUGUUGUUUCCAUGUCUCAGUGAUCACUUUUCUUUGUUGCCUGAUGUCUCAACAUUUUGAAAACUGCUGUUUCACAUAUUUUGUCUGGUUUUCUAGUUGCUUCAGACAGGAGUUAACUACAGUCCUUAUUACUUUGUCUUUCCUGAAAGCAGAAGUCUUUUAACUAAAGAAGGGUAGAUAUUAAAUGUAUCAUCUUUAGAAUUUGAUGAGAAAGUAAAAUUGCUUCCUCACUGUCCUCACCGGAUUCACAGGGGGAAAUGAUUCAGAGGCUUUUGCCUUUACCUCCUAGAGCAUGUUCUUGCAACUGUUGGGCUAGUCUUAUCUGGCCAAACUCUGUUACUAACAGAAUGUCUAGUUAUUUUGCAGGCACAGAGUUAAGAAGUGGCAAGUUAACACAGCCAGAGCAUGCACAGAAGAAAACUUCGACCUCAAAUAACACCUAGAACCAAAGUCCCUACCGCAGAACUAAAAGAUUGGGAUGUGGCUGGAACUCAAGCACCUAAACACUUUCAAAAGUGAGCAGUUCGUUUUCUAGGAAUGUUCACUGAUAAGACCCUUCCCCUUGCCUUACCAUAAAUAGUUACUUAAAGAUCCUCC
rnacentral:lncRNA from 10 species